rnacentral:rRNA from 1 species
UGGGGAAUAUUGGACAAUUGGCGCAAGCCUGAUCCAGCCAUGCCGCGUGAGUGAUGAAGGCCCUAGGGUUGUAAAGCUCUUUCUCCGGUGAAGAUAAUGACUGUAACCGGAGACGAAGCUCCGGCUAACUUCGUGCCAGCAGCCGCGGUAAUACGAAGGGGGCUAGCCUUGUUCGGUAUUACUGGGCGUAAAGCGCACGUAGGUGGACUAUUAAGUCAGGGGUGAAGUCUCAGGCCUCAACCCCGGAACUGCCUUUGAUACUGGUAGUUAUGAGUUAGAGGGAGGUAAGUGGAAUUCCGAGUGUAGAGGUGAAAUUCGAGGAUAUUCGGAGGAACACCAGUGGCGAAGGCGGCUCACUGGCUAGAUACUGCAGCUGAAGUGCGAAAGCGUGGGGAGCAAACAGG